rnacentral:rRNA from 1 species
GACAUAGGUCGCAAACGUUAUCCGGAAUUAUUGGGCGUAAAGGAUGCGUAGAUGGUUCGAUAAGUUACUGGUGGGAAAUCGAGGCUCAACCUCGUGGAAGUUAGUAAUACUGUCGAACUUGAGUGCAGGAGAGGUUAACGGAACUUUAUGUGGAGCGGUAAAAUGCGUAGAUAUGUAAAAGAACAUCAAUAAGGCGAAAGCAGUUAACUAUUCUGUUACUGACAUUGAGGCAUGAAAGCGUGGGGAGCAAAACGG